GAAAAGUGGAAGGGCUGGUGCCCUGCUGCUGCUGCUCAUCUCUGGGGUGCCUCCUAGACUGGUUCCCACACAUCAGCAUCUACUCCUCCCAUUCAGGUCCUGCUGUUGUGCUCCCUGGUGUGGGCUCCACUUCUGUGCUGGUGGCAAGCUGGGAGAGCAUGGAAGGAAUUCAGCAGUUGGAGAGCCCCUUCCCUCAUGACACUUCUCCAAAAGAGAGAACCUUGGCUCAUCUCUGUCCAGCAUUCAGGACUUCCCUGGUGGCUCAGAAGGUAAAGAAUCUGCCUGCAAUGCAGGAGACCCCGGUUUGACCCCUGGGUCAGGAAGAUCCCCUGGAAAAAGGGAUGGCUACCCACUCCGGU
rnacentral:lncRNA from 1 species